UACGUAGGGGGCGAGCGUUGUCCGGAUUUAUUGGGCGUAAAGAGCUCGUAGGUGGUUUGGUAAGUCGGAUGUGAAAUCUCCAGGCUCAACCUGGAGGGGUCAUUCGAUACUGCCAUGACUAGAGUUCGGUAGGGGAGUGUGGAAUUCCUGGUGGAGCGGUGAAAUGCGCAGAUAUCAGGAGGAACACCAAUGGCGAAGGCAGCUCGCUGGGACGUGACUGACGCUGAGACGCGAAAGCGUGGGGAGCAAACAGG
rnacentral:rRNA from 1 species